ACCCCGCACAAGCGGUGGAUCAUGUUGUUUAAUUCGAUGAUACGCGAAGAACCUUACCAGGUCUUGACAUCCCCCGCGAUGCUUUAGAGAUAAAGCGGAGGUAUUCGGGGAGACAGGUGGUGCAUGGUUGUCGUCAGCUCGUGUCGUGAGAUGUUGGGUUAAGUCCCGCAACGAGCGCAACCCUUGUGUUUAGUUGCAAACAGGUCAAGCUGUGCACUCUAGACAGACUGCCGUGGACAACACGGAGGAAGGUGGGGAUGACGUCAAAUCAUCAUGCCCCUUAUGAUCUGGGCUACACACGUGCUACAAUGGCCGGUACAACGGGCAGCGAAGGAGCGAUCCGGAGCGAAUCCUAAAAAGCCGGUCCCAGUUCGGAUUGCAGGCUGAAACUCGCCUACAUGAAGUUGGAGUUGCUAGUAAUCGCGAAUCAGAAUGUCGCGGUGAAUGCGUUCCCGGGCCUU
rnacentral:rRNA from 1 species